rnacentral:tRNA from 6 species
GCCGGCUUAGCUCAAUUGGUAGAGCAACUGACUUGUAAUCAGUAGGUUGUCAGUUCAAGUCCGACAGCCGGCAC